UGGUGACCUUGAGAGAGGGCCUGUGCUGUGCGCGCCUCGCGGGGCAUGCUGGGAGCAGUAGCAUCUUAGCUGCUUCCGGCCGCUGGUCGCAGGGCUGCGGGACUACAAUCUUCGCAUGAAAUGGAAGAGAGGGUGGUGCGGAUAGCUUGAGGAAGAGCAUCAAGCCUCCUCCCGCCCAGGGGGCCUCCUGCUUUCCUAAGCUGCUGUGGAAUCGGCCUGAGGUCCCAGACGCUGUCCAUUGUGCUGCUGCUCUCUGCUUUCUCCAGCCAGAGUGCCAGUUCAUCCGCUUUUGGGAGAACUCCGCCGCCUGGCCUGCCCGCGGAAAAGGUCACAGCUUUGCAGGGGGUGACAUGGGCUAUGGCUUCCUGGAAAUGUCACCCUCACUAGCGCCUUUUAGAUAGAUGUGAAUUUUGAGACAUGAGGGAGAGUAAUUAUUGGUUUACCCAGGAGAUGCUAAGAGCAGAGGAGAAAACCCUAAUUUCCAGGCAUGUGUCCUGAGCCAGGGACAGGCUGGCCAGACCCUAAGCCCCCAGUGCCGCCAGAGAGCAGCCUACUGCCCUGAUUUGUGUGGAAUCCCCUUCGUGCUGCUGGGCCUUAGCGUCAGGGACAGCCCAGUCAGGUGAAGGUGGGGAUGACCCAUGGGCUUCUGGAAGUGGGUUGGUGGUCCUGGGAGGGCCAGCCCAUCCCCCCUUGGAGAGGGUCUUUGUGCUGAAGGAUGCCCACAGAGGCCUGGGUACCAGGAACACUGCUCUAGGCAAGGUGCCUUUCUUCCAGAUUUGGCUGAAAGGAAGGAAGACUUGGUCAGCUUUUCCACCCAGCCAUCUGGCCCUUACAGGGCUGCUCCCCAUGGACCUGGGUUUGUAGAGUCCUCCAGGGCUUUGUGUGGCCCACUAGUUCUGAUACUGAGGACACCCCUGCAGGCUGUUAAUUUCAGAACAAGGGGUGUGUGCAGACUGGGGCAUGGGUGCUGUCAGGGUACCCCAGGCUGCUCCAGGGACGGUACCCCAGUGUUCAACUUGGCUUGGGGCCCCCUGCCUCAUGCCCUUACUCCAGGGCUGCUUGGCCUGGGCUUGAGCCAUGGUCCAGAACUCAGGUGGCCCCAUUGCCACCUAAUAUAAGGGCCUGUCUCCACAGUGGGUGAGACGCCCCUGGGCACUGGGCUCUUCAGUCAUCCAGGGCUAUCCACUCCAUGGCAUGAGUUCCCACAUUCAGCUGAACUCUGUCUGGCUCUGGACUGGGGUCCCUCCUGUGCCCUUUCCCUGAAUCCUCUCUGGGUCCGAGACACUGAUCCUCUUCACUCUCUGGCUUAAGGCUUGUUCUCCUGACCUCCUUGGAGGGGUGCUCAGGAUUGAGGACCCCUGCUGUUCUCUGGGGCUGUUGGUACUCGGAGGUGUGGGUGUUGGCUUGCACUGAGAAGUCCAACCCCUUCAGUGCCCUUCAGGGGUCCUUUAAGAGCAGGAGUGAUAGGGUGUGGGGGAGUGCCUUAGAGGGGUCUUGCCCUCAUCCCCUGCCCUGUCUCUGAGACGUGUCCAGUAAACCUGAGGUCAGCACCUCAGGAAUGAAAUAAUGUCUUUUGCAGCAACUUGAAUGAAGCUGGAGGCCAUUAUUCCAAGUGAAAUAACUCAGGAAUUAAAAAUCAAAUGCCAUAUGUUCUCACUUAUAAGUUGGAGCUAAGCCAUGCGUAUGCAAAGGCAUGCGGGGUGACAUAAUGGACUUUGGAGACUCAGACAUGAGGGUGGCAGGUGGAUGAAGGAUGAAAAAACUACCUGUUGAGUACAAUAUAUACUACUCAGGUGACAAGUGCACUAAAAUCUCAGAAUCCAACACUAUAUAAUUCAUUCAUGUAACCAAAAACCACUUGUACCCAAAUGAUAUUGACAUUAAAAAAAAUUUAAAACUAACAAAAUUUAUAAUAAAAGCUUUUUAAAAAAUAAAAAAUAAAAA
ensembl:lncRNA LINC02987 long intergenic non-protein coding RNA 2987